rnacentral:rRNA from 1 species
AAUGAACGCUGGCGGCAGGCCUAACACAUGCAAGUCGAGCGGAUGAAUGGAGCUUGCUCCUGGAUUCAGCGGCGGACGGGUGAGUAAUGCCUAGGAAUCUGCCUGAUCGUUGAGACUAAGAUCCGGAAACGGGACCUAAUCCACCAUACGUCAUGAUGUGGAACUUGGGGGUUCUACGGACAUCACGCUAUUUGGUAAGCCUAGGUCGGAUGACCUAGUUGGUGGGGUAAAGGGUUACAAAGGCGACGAUCCGUAACUGGUAUGAGAGGAUGAUCCGUCACACUGGAACUGAGACACGGUCCAGACUCUUACGGGAGGCAGCAGUGGGGAAUAUUGGACAAUGGGCGAAAGCCUGAUCCAGCAAUGCCGCGUGUGUGAAGAAGGUCUGCGGAUUGUAAAGCACUGUAAGUUGGGAGGAAGUGAAGUAAGUUUAUCCGUUACGGUUUUGACGUUACCAACAGAAUAAGCACCGGCUAACUUCGUG